rnacentral:misc_RNA from 1 species
GACGAACCGUGCAAACGUUAUUCGGAAUCACUGGGCUUAAAGGGGGCGUAGGCGGGCUGGUAAGUCAGAGGUGAAAGCCCACAGCUUAACUGUGGAAGUGCCCCUGAUACUGUCAGCCUUGAGGGAGGUAGGGGCGUGCGGAACUUCCGGUGGAGCGGUGAAAUGCGUAGAUAUCGGAAGGAACACCGGUGGCGAAAGCGGCGCGCUGGACCUCUUCUGACGCUGAGGCCCGAAAGCUAGGGGAGCAAACGGG